CACUACAUCCACUGCAUCCACUAAACACAUUGCUUCUAGUACACACAAACACUACAUCCACUACACAAACACACACUACAUCCACUACUCAAACACACUCUGCGUUCACUAUACACACUGCAUCCGCUACACAAACACACACUCUGCAUUCACUGCACAAACAGUAUCUAAUACACACAAACACUACAUCCAUUACACACAUUCUAAU